ACCCAGCUGGUUCGGUUAGAAGAGUGUGUGACUCUUAAUCUUGGGGUUGUGAGUUCAAGCCCCAUGUUGGGUA
rnacentral:tRNA from 1 species